UAGUCCACGCCGUAAACGAUGAGAACUAGAUGUCGGGGGAAUUUGUCCUUCGGUGUCGCAGCUAACGCGUUAAGUUCUCCGCCUGGGGAGUACGCCGGCAACGGUAAAACUCAAAGGAAUUGACGGGGACCCGCACAAGCGGUGGAGCAUGUGGUUUAAUUCGAUGCAACGCGAAGAACCUUACCAGGCCUUGACAUCCUCGGAACUUUCUAGAGAUAGAUUGGUGCCUUCGGGAACCGAGUGACAGGUGCUGCAUGGCUGUCGUCAGCUCGUGUCGUGAGAUGUUGGGUUAAGUCCCGUAACGAGCGCAACCCUUGUCCUUAGUUGCCAGCACUUCGGGUGGGAACUCUAAGGAGACUGCCGGUGACAAACCGGAGGAAGGUGGGGACGACGGUCAAGUCAUCAUGGCCCUUACGGGCCUGGGGCUACACACGUGCUACAAUGGGAACGCACAGAGGGGCAGCAAACCCGCGAGGGGGANCGGAAUCCCACAAAACGUUUCGUAGUCCGGGAUUGGGAGUCUGCAACUCGACUCCA
rnacentral:rRNA from 1 species